GCUCAUAAAAAUCUGCACCAGCAGAGGUGACCACUGUCACUGUCACCACUGCAGAAACACACCAUCCACCACCUCACUGUGCUCACAUCCACUGUUCAGUCUCCAGAAGAAAUCAGCAAUUGCUGAUGAAUGUCAGUGGGUACCAUUUUUUCCUCAUGGAGGAAUUCAAUUCCACACCUUUGCUCCAUACGCACUUCCAUGUCAGAUGCCAUAUUGUCAUACUGCUAUCUGCCACAGGGCAACAAAAUGUAACAGGAUAUUGGUGGAGUCCAACCUUUUUCUCAUCCCACCAACAUCUACCUCUGACAUCAUGGGCUGACAUAACAAAAUAGGAGGCAUUACUUUUGGAGCACGGGGGCAUUCAAGAGGCACCUUUAUCCUUUCAGCAAGGAUAAAGAACAUCUCUCUGCCACUUGUGCAUUUGAGGCAAAUACAACACAGCAAAGUAGCAAAUCUAAGUGGAGGAGCAAUGUGCACCCAUAGAGGAGUUUUUAAAGAGCAGGGGACAGAAACACUAAAGUUAGUAGUAAUUAUAGGAUCUCCUAAAAAAAUAGCUUGGUAUCCUCCAUGAUUAGAUGACAUCCUAAUGAUGUAUUAUUAAUAAUAAUAACAAUAACAAUAUAACAAUAAUUUUAUUGUUACUAUUAAUAAUAAAAUUAUUAAACAGGGCACUGGGAAUUGUAGACCAGCAAUUCCUUGCUUGAGAAGGAGUAGCUAAAGCAGUAUCACAUGUCAGUAUAUGCUAGGUUGAAAGCAACAUACUUUCUGCAAGGAAAGAUCGUGUUUUCCAGGUAAUCUGCCCAAACCUUUUAACCUGCUGGCAAAUGACAGGGUGCAGAGAAUUGGGGGAUUUUUAUUUGGAUAAAUAUGGAUAAAUGUCAUGGAUGCCUUCUUUUGUACAGCUGAUAUUGAUCAGCUCAGGGUAGAAGGUAGCUUAGUCUGAGCUAGAAAUGGAAAGUUUUCUGGGCUUGGAGGCAGGGGUACUUCUUGAGUAGAUCUGCAGACUUUGAGCAAGUGAGUUUCCUCUGGGAAGCAGUGAUUUGUCAGAACCGGAGUUGCAGGGUGGAAAAGAGUUGAUUUUCUCUGGACUUAUCUGGUGAGCACAUCUAGGUCAAAGUCUGGUUGGACAAAGACACAAGCGCAGAAUACUUGGCAUCACGACAUCUAGAUUCCUCCUGUGAUGUGGCAGCCCCAGUUCAAAUCCUGACGCUGAGCUCAGGCUGCCACAUCCCAUAGUAUGCCUCAGCAACCAAUGAGUCCGGAUGUAUUCAGCUUUUUUUGUUUGUUUGUUUGUUUAACCAAACCAAGCAAAAAACCUAAAAGUUGUUAGUUUUGGUAGUGGGCAGAAAGGGAAGGUAUAGGGAGAAAAGCCUACCCUUCUUUCCAGGUCUCAUCUAGCUCUGUUUGAGGCUGCCCACACACAUGCUUCCUUCCCAAAGGACCCAGCAGGUGAGCUGCUGUGAGCAGGAGCAACCCUUUGCUGCUGUAGUUCAGUCUAAGGCUUCUUAAAUGUCUGAACGUCCCAACGUUCCCCUGGCUCAGAGGAGCACGACAAAGCUGGGUGUGGGCAGUCUGCAGUGGCAGGGAAUGGCCUCUGCUAGGAGAGGCAAUAGAUUGAGAGAAAAAAUGUCAUUGAUGCUCCGGAAAUGUUGCUAGGCUUUAAAGGACUUGUCAUUCAAGAGGAGGAGUAUCUUCCCCUCAGCAUCUGAUUUUGCGUAGAAUAACUAAAUGAACUGACGGUGCCAUAGAAAUUAACUGUGUAUUACAGAGUUAGGUGCUAAUGUCUUAGAGGCUGCUGUGUUUGAACUCACAUGUAAUACCGUUCAUUACGUUCCCAAGUUGUUCCUCUGCUGUUUUCCCUUGGUAAGCUGGCCACUGUCACUGACACAACCUUUGUCCCCCUCCUGAGAAAUACCAAUUCCAUUAUGUUACUCAACUCUAGUGAAAUUGUAUCAGCUGACUUUGAAGUACACAGUAUAAAAACGUUGUGGUAUGCUUGCAUGGUAGCUAUUUGAUGUAAGAAAAUGCAAAAUCUCUUGUGCUCUCUCUUUAGGAAUUUGGGCUUUGAGUUCCACUGGGGAGUGCUGUGUGUACCCAACUGCAUGGGGUCAGGGCCACCUUUUUUAAAAACAUGUUUCACAUCUGAGGUUAGAAAUGUUUCAGAAGACAAAUCAGCAGAAAAGCUGUCUGUUCUUGGCUCAGAUGAUAGUAGUGACUUGUACUAAAGAUUGUCCUUCCACUUAGAAAAUUGCACGGCUGCUUCUGUUUUAACUUCUGUCAGAGGUCUGGCAUCUUGGUACAGGUAUUUUUUUCUAAAUGUACUGAGUAUAGUUGCCUUUAAAUCCUCUUAGGUACAUACAGUUAUCAUUGAUAUUCUGUAAAUUAGCUCUCUACUAGCAUUCACAUUGGACUAGGCCUAAUAUUCUGAAUGUCAAAGAUAAAAAAUGGAAAUGAACUUAUACCCUUUUAUGUUCUGCCCAGGGUAGUUGUGGGUUGGUUUGUCUGUAGAAGUACUAGCAGUGUACGUUGGUCUUCCCUGUUUUAACUUGCGGUGAUUCUCUGUGGGAGAGCCCAAAUGUGUGGGCUGGAAGCCCACUCUGCUUUCAGUUGAAAGUUAUGAACUGAAAGAUACAGGCUUAAAUCUAUUUUUCCACGCUUUGGUGACACCGAGGUAUUAUAGUGAUGAAGUUCUUGGAAAUACUUGGAUAAACUGGGCUGUAUCACAGAGAUAAUGCAUCUUUUCCAUUCUUUUCUUUUGCUGUCGAUCAAGUAUCUGAGCUUUUUUUGCCAUGUAAAUUGUUUAACUGUUUGAGUAAAAAUUACUCCACUAUCUGUCAGAUACUACCCCUUCUCAUCCCAUAAAUCCAUUUAGGCUUGAUUAUUUGUAGUCUUCCAGGAAAGGUUGACAGCGUGCAUUCCCAAAGCCAACACCAACAACUUCCCAAUGAGGGAAGGAAACCCAUCUGUAAAGGCAGCGCUCCCCAGGCACCCACGGCUCCCUGCUCCAGGUGCUCUCAGGCCCCAGCAGGGCAGGGCUGUGGGACAGGCUGGGCCGCAGCGGGGUGGAAUGAUGGCCUUGUCCCAUAGCUGUGCCCCAUUUGGGCAGAAAGCACACAGCUUUGGGUGCGGGUGCUGGGCGGCCGCUGGCAGGCUCUGCACUGGGCACAGGCAGCCUGGGGUGCUGCGGUGCCAUGCACCAGCCUGGCACUGCAGGACGCUCAGCAUGCUCCCUACCUUUGGGUCCCAGGAAAGGGAAAUUGGAACUUUUUCGGGUCAAGAAAACUCAGUGAGAGUGACACCAAGUCCCUGGAGAGCGGUGUUUUUUUCCCGCAGUAGUGCCGGCUGCUCACAUUUGCUUCUUUUCAGCCAUUGCCCAUGGUUUGGUUUUGCUGGGUUCUUAGCCAUCUUGAUCUCAUGUUUGCAAAUAUUAUUGGUAAUAUAAUGCUAUAUGUACAAAUGUCUGUGUGGCUCGUGUAUGUUUCUGUGGUUCAAAUCAGCCACAGAAUUCUGGAAUUUCAUUGUACUUUGGUUAAAUGUUGGACUUUUAACUCUUCUACUGUAUGGCUUCUUGAUUUCUCUUGUCCAAUGUGGACCAACUCUCUAUUUUUGGAAAUAAAUAAGCAUGUAAAUAAAAUGAAUGGGUUUAUGCCACUUACAAGAAAAUGCUUCAUUUCAAAUAUUCACUCAGCCUUGUAUAUUUUAUGGUAUCUCACGGUGCGGACAACCCAUCACAGCCUAGAGGCUGAGGCACAAGCAGCCUUUGCGGUGAGAUACCAUAUGAUGUGAAGUCAUUGCCAGGUGGUGUCAGCCAGACAGACACUGUAGGGCUGUGGGGCGAACGGCAGUCUUGUGGAGGAGGGGGGCCUGGAAAGCAGUGCGUAGUUUGAGAGGAGCAAAGAAAAGAGACCUGGCUUUGUGGUGCACAUGUGGCUUCUGGUUUGAGGUGUCCGUGUCCCUGUCCCUACUGCCGGCAAGUGCAGGGUGCCCGGGGCCAGCCCUCGGUCUCUGCCCGCAGCACGUCCCGCUGGCGCGUGGAGAGCGGGAGCACGACUUUUUUUCUUCUCCAUAUAAACCAAUAUUUACCAGUAAUCCUGUGUUUCUGUUUUUGUUUUUUGGCAGACUUUUACCAGUAAAUAUCGGUUUAUUCCUGAAAUCAGAAGCCCUAAACAUACCUUUGUUUAUAAGUUUUCCUACUCUGCAACUCUGGAAAUGGAGCCCGCAGGACCUAGAGCCUUCUCUUGGUAACGUAGAUUGAAGUUUACAAAUUAUUAUUUAACACUUUAAAGUCUGCUUUUAAGGACAGCAGUGUUCCCAUCUGCCUGGUACGGGGCUGGUAGAAAUUCCUGCUGAUGCAUGAUGUGGUUCACCUUCCCAGAGCCUGUGGGCAGGUGUCUCACAAAGCAUCUUCAGGUUUGGGCUUGGAAAGUAAUUACUCCAAAAGUAUGUGUUACAAAAUGGCAUUUCAGUUUUACAGUGAACAGGAUGGGGGGAGUGGAGGGUGGGAACUGAGAAUGGAUAUGUCUUUUUCUGAUUUUUUAUUUUUAUUUUAUUUUUUCUCUAUAUUCUGCUAGAAAGCAAGGCUUCUGUUUUGGAAAAGAAGCGUGAAGUGGGGAGGAGGGAGAGAAUUUGAGCAUUGCCCAUCCUAAAAUAGUUUUAACACUUCCUCCGAGGCUGAUGGAAAAGGCAGGUGAAAGGUCUGAUCCUUAAAAGGACAUUGCUAGGUAUUUGGGAUUCCAAAAGCAGCUGGUGCUUCUUAAUGACUGCAAUUGAUUUAGGUAAUUUGCAAAAUUUGGUCUAUACUAAGACAAAUCAGCUUGGGAGAAUUGAAGACUCCCUUUUUUUUCUAAGAGUUUGCAACCCAAAUGCUGCAAUACUGUGCUAAUACUUGUGAAACAGCAAAGCUGGCAAGGAAUAGAAAAUGAGUUGACUACAUGGUCCCAGCCAAAUUUUUUUUCUUUUGAACAAACAAAAUGAAAAAAUCAUAACCAAAACCACUCCAAGUCAAAAAAUGCAACCUCCAUAGAGUAAGCAGAACAGCAUCUCAAGUGAUUUGAUUUGGUCUUGUCAUGCAUGACUGGCAAGAGCAUUUCUGGUAUAGCUGCAACCUAACUAUGUCCCUUUAAGACUAACUUAAUCGCAGUGAAACAAAAGACAAAGUUUUGCACUGUAGAGCAGAUCAAAGUUCCUGCAGCCUUAGUUGGAGUCCAUAAUGACGGCAGUCUUCCAGCUGUACACUCUGAGCUGAAAACUACCUUUCCUCCCCUUUUGCAGCCUGUGUGGUUCUGAUUGCUGGCAGUUCUCUAAUACAGCUUUAAUCUGAGCAGUUGAGGCUGGUCCCACCUUACCUUCAGACGUCUUGCGGAGGACUCGUUACCAGUUUGGUACCCAAAAGCUACACCCCACGAGAAGUCACUUAUUUUUUAAAAGGCAGUGAUAGAUUACCGUCUCUAGUUCUAAUGGAAAAAUUAUAUUGCAAUGCAACUUUAUAAUAAAUUGUUCAUAUAUUCAUAAUUCUGUGGCAAUCCCAAAUUGGAGGAUGGAUCUGUUAAAGGUAUAUAUUAGUCUAGAUUUUUUUCUUAUUGUAAAUACUGUAAUUUUAUAAUACUGUCAAUAUUUUAUUAACUUAGAAAUAUUUAACAGAGAUCAAUCUAUUGUAGUUGAUUUAUUUAUAAGUUUAUGUUGCAGCCAAUAUUGAACUGCAUUCUAAUGUAAGAUUAACUUUCAGCAUGUAAACACUGAUUUAAUCUAUCAUUGGAAAGAUUAAAAAUACAGAAAAUUUUCACUCUUAAUCUGUAAUAUUUAUCCCCCAAUCACCAAUUCAGAGUUUUUAAUGAAACAGUACGAUUUCAAAAGCUCAUGAACUGUAGUUGGAUCAUGUCAUUUGAAAACUUGAAUUUUGAAAUGUACCUGGCUUUUUUACCCUGUUGGUAGUGAAUAAGAUUGUUUCAGUAUCUAAACUUUAAAGUACAGAAGUCUUUAUUUUGAGCAAAGGGGCACUCUCAGAUUAACAUUAGGUUCCUGUUUUAAGGGGAAAAAAAAAAAAA